rnacentral:rRNA from 1 species
UGAACGCUAGCGGCAGGCUUAACACAUGCAAGUCGAGGGGCGAGCGGGAUGUAGCAAUACAUGCCGGCGACCGGCGGAUGGGUGCGUAACGCGUAUGCAACCUACCUUAUACAGGGGAAUAACCUUUCGAAAGGGAGACUAACACCCCAUAGUAUUGAUUUAAGGCAUCUUAGAUUAAUUAAAUAUUUAUAGGUAUAAGAUGGGCAUGCGUAUGAUUAGCUAGUUGGUAAGGUAACGGCUUACCAAGGCGACGAUCAUUAGGGGUUCUGAGAGGAAGGUCCCCCACACUGGUACUGAGACACGGACCAGACUCCUACGGGAGGCAGCAGUGAGGAAUAUUGGUCAAUGGGCGCAAGCCUGAACCAGCCAUGCCGCGUGCAAGGAAGACGGCCUUAUGGGUUGUAAACUGCUUUUACAUAAGACUAACCGUAUAUUUGCGAAUAUACCUGAAUGUAUUAUGAGAAUAAGGAUCGGCUAACUCCGUGCCAGCCGCCGC